UUCAAUAUUUAAGUGAUGGGGUCUUGAUUUUUUGUUUUGUGAUGCAUUUUUCAGAAUUUUGAGAUUUUCUUGCUCUUUUCUCUUUCUAUAAUUCCGUUUCUUUGAUCCAUUUUAAUGAUGUUUAUGUAAGGAAUAGUGAAAGACUAUUCUCAAGUGAUGGGGCGUUUGAUUUUUCUUUUUUAAUUUUUUUUGUGGUGCCUUUGUUUCCGGAUUUUUAAGAUUUUGAUAUCUGCAGGAUUUCAUUUUGGUCCAUUUUGAUGAUGUUUAAUGAAAAGAUUGUAUUUUUAAGUGAUGGGGUGUUUGGUUUUUUGUUGUUUUGUUUUUGCCAGAGUUGUAAGAUUUUGUUUUUAGGAAAUGCAGGAAGGUGCUUUAAAGAAGGAUCAGUUUUGAAAUGGCAGGUGGUAUUGAAGAACCAUUUAGGCUUAGUUUUCAGGCAGAUUCGUGGCAAUCUGGAUCUAUCUCAUUCGGUAGAUUUGAGAAUGAAGCUUUAUGUUGGGAGAGGAGGUCUUCUUUCACACAUAACAGG